rnacentral:rRNA from 1 species
CCUACGGGAGGCAGCAGUAGGGAAUAUUGCUCAAUGGGGGAAACCCUGAAGCAGCAACGCCGCGUGGAGGAUGACGGUUUUCGGAUUGUAAACUCCUUUUGUUAGAGAAGAUAAUGACGGUAUCUAACGAAUAAGCACCGGCUAACUCCGUGCCAGCAGCCGCGGUAAUACGGAGGGUGCAAGCGUUACUCGGAAUCACUGGGCGUAAAGAGCGCGUAGGCGGGAUAGCAAGUCAGAUGGGAAAUCCUAUGGCUUAACCAUAGAACUGCAGUUGAAACUGUUAUUCUUGAGUAUGGGAGGGGUAGGUGGAAUUCUUGGUGUAGGGGUAAAAUCCAUAGAGAUCAAGAGGAAUACUCAUUGCGAAGGCGACCUGCUAGAACAUAACUGACGCUGAUGCACGAAAGUGUGGGUAGCAAACAGGAUUAGAUACCCGGGUAGUC